UACGUAGGGUGCAAGCGUUGUUCGGAAUUACUGGGCGUAAAGCGUACGUAGGCGGCUUUGUAAGUUAGAGGUGAAAGCCCGGGGCUCAACCCCGGAAUUGCCUUUAAGACUGCAUCGCUUGAACGUCGGAGAGGUGAGUGGAAUUCCGAGUGUGGAGGUGAAAUUCGUAGAUAUUCGGAAGAACACCAGUGGCGAAGGCGGCUCACUGGACGACUGUUGACGCUGAGGUACGAAAGCGUGGGGAGCAAACAGG
rnacentral:rRNA from 1 species